ACAUUCAGUGGGCCUUCAUUAUUCGACAAUAAAAAAAUUAAAUCGUGCACUAAGUGCUCUAAACGUGCUUUUUGAGCGUGCUUGAUAAAUUAAACCUAAAAAAUUGCAGAAGACGUAAUCCAGUUAGCGCCAAGCAAUCGAGGGAAAGGCUACGUCCUCAUGUAUAAAGGGUGUACUUUCUCAAGAAACAACAAAUGCAACAGAUGGUACUGCUCCAAGAAGUCGGCUGGCUGUAGGGCGCGACUCUUCGUGUCGGACGACUUCAAGACAGCGGAGCUUUUGAUGGGACACAAUCAUCUCCCCCCACAAUUACCUACAUAUUAUAGCACUAACUAUAGAUUUAGAAAGUCUCCGCGAGAACGUGAAGACCUAUGAUUGAGAGAUAGAUGCUAUAAUUAAUGUAUGGUACUAACCAAGCCAAUAAAUACGAAAUAGCAAUACAAGAUAGAGUUGAUACCCAGCAAGCGCGGGAAAGGUCACAUCCUCGUCUACCAGGGGUACACGUACGCUAAUAUGGGUAACAACAACAGAUGGUACUGUUCUAAGAAAGCUUUGGGUGUAAGGCCCGCCUCCUCACCAUGAACAACUACGAGAAUGCAGAGUUGUUGGUAGAUCAUACCCAUCAACCGCCGACGUUGUACAGACUACCUGAUGGCUCGCUUUGUAGACUAUAAUCGUUUUACAAUAAAAGAUUUGAUGUCUAA